GUAGGUGGCAAGCGUUGUCCGGAAUUAUUGGGCGUAAAGCGCGCGCAGGCGGUUCUUUAAGUCUGAUGUGAAAGCCCACGGCUCAACCGUGGAGGGUCAUUGGAAACUGGAGAACUUGAGUACAGAAGAGGAAAGCGGAAUUCCACGUGUAGCGGUGAAAUGCGUAGAGAUGUGGAGGAACACCAGUGGCGAAGGCGGCUUUCUGGUCUGUAACUGACGCUGAGGCGCGAAAGCGUGGGGGGAGCAAACAGGAUUAGAUACCCUGGUAGUCCACGCCGUAAACGAUGAGUGCUAAGUGUUAGGGGGUUUCCGCCCCUUAGUGCUGCAGCUAACGCAUUAAGCACUCCCGCCCCGGGAGUACGGCCGCAAGGCUG
rnacentral:rRNA from 1 species